rnacentral:siRNA from 1 species
AGAGAUAUUGACAGUCCUAAUG